CCUAAUACAUGCAAGUCGAGCGAACGGACGAGAAGCUUGCUUCUCUGAUGUUAGCGGCGGACGGGUGAGUAACACGUGGAUAACCUACCUAUAAGACUGGGAUAACUUCGGGAAACCGGAGCUAAUACCGGAUAAUAUUUUGAACCGCAUGGUUCAAAAGUGAAAGACGGUCUUGCUGUCACUUAUAGAUGGAUCCGCGCUGCAUUAGCUAGUUGGUAAGGUAACGGCUUACCAAGGCAACGAUGCAUAGCCGACCUGAGAGGGUGAUCGGCCACACUGGAACUGAGACACGGUCCAGACUCCUACGGGAGGCAGCAGUAGGGAAUCUUCCGCAAUGGGCGAAAGCCUGACGGAGCAACGCCGCGUGAGUGAUGAAGGUCUUCGGAUCGUAAAACUCUGUUAUUAGGGAAGAACAUAUGUGUAAGUAACUGUGCACAUCUUGACGGUACCUAAUCAGAAAGCCACGGCUAACUACGUGCCAGCAGCCGCGGUAAUACGUAGGUGGCAAGCGUUAUCCGGAAUUAUUGGGCGUAAAGCGCGCGUAGGCGGUUUUUUAAGUCUGAUGUGAAAGCCCACGGCUCAACCGUGGAGGGUCAUUGGAAACUGGAAAACUUGAGUGCAGAAGAGGAAAGUGGAAUUCCAUGUGUAGCGGUGAAAUGCGCAGAGAUAUGGAGGAACACCAGUGGCGAAGGCGACUUUCUGGUCUGUAACUGACGCUGAUGUGCGAAAGCGUGGGGAUCAAACAGGAUUAGAUACCCUGGUAGUCCACGCCGUAAACGAUGAGUGCUAAGUGUUAGGGGGUUUCCGCCCCUUAGUGCUGCAGCUAACGCAUUAAGCACUCCGCCUGGGGAGUACGACCGCAAGGUUGAAACUCAAAGGAAUUGACGGGGACCCGCACAAGCGGUGGAGCAUGUGGUUUAAUUCGAAGCAACGCGAAGAACCUUACCAAAUCUUGACAUCCUUUGACAACUCUAGAGAUAGAGCCUUCCCCUUCGGGGGACAAAGUGACAGGUGGUGCAUGGUUGUCGUCAGCUCGUGUCGUGAGAUGUUGGGUUAAGUCCCGCAACGAGCGCAACCCUUAAGCUUAGUUGCCAUCAUUAAGUUGGGCACUCUAAGUUGACUGCCGGUGACAAACCGGAGGAAGGUGGGGAUGACGUCAAAUCAUCAUGCCCCUUAUGAUUUGGGCUACACACGUGC
rnacentral:rRNA from 1 species